rnacentral:misc_RNA from 1 species
GGAAUUUUAGACCAUACAGUUGCUUCUGAACUAGAAUUUUGUGGACAUUGAUGCUCUGUUCAGAUACUGCAACUUUAUAAGGAUAAACAGCAUUGUUAGACAUCAUUCAAGAACCAGAAAACCUCAGUUUAAUUCAGAGUUAAAUACUGAAUGCAUUUGAAUACCCCAUACACAGUGUUAGACUUCAGACAAAAUUCCUUCUCUCAUUACAUUGAGUCCGUGGGGGUUUUGUUUUCAAUGUAUUCUAUAUUUAUGUUAACUUUAUACAUGUACGUGUGCAUCGAUUUUUUUAUGAGUAAACGUGAAAAAAUUGAUAGCUUGUAGCAAUAUUUUUUUGUAGAAAAAUUGAUUGCUUUAUAACUUGUUUAAUACAUGUAUACUGUUAAAUGCCAGUUGACAGAUUAGAAAAUAUCCAGCAUUAAAAACAAAAAAACUUG